AAGAUUAACGCUGGCGGCGUGCAUGAAACAUGCAAGUCGAGCGCGGUGUGAUGCGGGGUAACCCAAUUCACAUCUAGCGGCGAACGGGUGAGUAACACGUGAGCAACCUACCUUUGAGUUGGGGAUAGCCCUGGGAAACCAGGAUUAAUACCCGAUGUGGUCACAACAGGACAUCCUGAUGUGAGUAAAGGCGCAAGCCGCUCAAUGACGGGCUCGCGGCCUAUUAGCUUGUUGGUGGGGUAACGGCCUACCAAGGCGAUGAUGGGUAGCUGGUCUGAGAGGACGAUCAGCCACACUGGGACUGAGACACGGCCCCAGACUCCUACGGGAGGCAGCAGUUAGGAAUUUUCCGCAAUGGGCGAAAGCCUGACGGAGCAACGCCGCGUGAGUGAUGAAGACCUUAGGGUUGUAAAGCUCUGUCGGAGGGGAAGAACACAAUGACGGUACCCUACCAAGAACGCCCCGGCUAACUACGUGCCAGCAGCCGCGGUAA
rnacentral:rRNA from 1 species